rnacentral:rRNA from 1 species
CACGUAGGGGGCGAGCGUUGUCCGGAUUCAUUGGGCGUAAAGGGCGCGUAGGCGGCUGGGGAAGUCGGCGGUGAAAGCCCGGAGCUCAACUCCGGGUCGGCCGUCGAGACUCCUCGGCUCGAGCUCACUAGAGGCAGAUGGAAUUCCGGGUGUAGCGGUGGAAUGCGUAGAGAUCCGGAAGAACACCGGUGGCGAAGGCGGUCUGCUGGGGUGAGGCUGACGCUGAUGCGCGACAGCGUGGGGAGCAAACAGG